GGCUCAGACGAAACGUUGGCGGCGCGCUUAACACAUGCAAGUCGAACGCGAAAGGGGGCAACCCCCGGUAGCGUGGCGCACGGGUGAGUAACACGUGGGUAAUCUUCCCUCGAGCGGGGGAUAACCUUCCGAAAGGAGGGCUAAUACCGCAUAGGACCACGGCCGGUACGCCGGUCGAGGUGAAAGCUGGCCUCUACAUGUAAGCUAGCACUCGAGGAUGAGCCCGCGGCCCAUCAGCUAGUUGGUGGUGUAAGAGACCACCAAGGCGAAGACGGGUAGCUGGUCUGAGAGGAUGAUCAGCCACACUGGAACUGAGACACGGUCCAGACUCCUACGGGAGGCAGCAGUGGGGAAUCUUGCGCAAUGGGCGAAAGCCUGACGCAGCGACGCCGCGUGGGUGAUGAAGGCCUUCGGGUUGUAAAGCCCUGUGGGGAGGGACGAAUGAGCCAUGGCUAACAUCCAUGGUGAUGACGGUACCUCCUUAGCAAGCACCGGCUAACUCUGUGCCAGCAGCCGCGGUAAGACAGAGGGUGCGAACGUUGUUCGGAAUUACUGGGCGUAAAGCGCGUGUAGGUGGCAUCGCAAGUCGGGUGUGAAAGCCCGGGGCUCAACCCCGGAAGUGCACUCGAUACUGCGGAGCUAGAGUCUCGGAGAGGAUGGUGGAACUCUCGGUGUAGAGGUGAAAUUCGUAGAUAUCGAGAAGAACACCGGCGGCGAAGGCGGCCAUCUGGACGAUGACUGACACUGAGACGCGAAAGCGUGGGGAGCAAACAGGAUUAGAUACCCUGGUAGUCCACGCCGUAAACGAUGGGUGCUAGGUGUCACGGGUAUUGACCCCUGUGGUGCCGCAGCUAACGCAUUAAGCACCCCGCCUGGGAAGUACGGCCGCAAGGCUAAAACUCAAAG
rnacentral:rRNA from 1 species